GACAGAGGGUGCAAACGUUGUUCGGAUUUACUGGGCGUAAAGCGCGUGUAGGCGGCUUGGCAAGUUGGAUGUGAAAGCCCACGGCUCAACCGUGGAAGCGCAUCCAAAACUGCUUCGCUCGAGUCUCGGAGAGGAAGGUGGAAUGCUUGGUGUAGAGGUGAAAUUCGUAGAUAUCAAGCAGAACACCUGCGGCGAAGGCGGCCUUCUGGACGAUGACUGACGCUGAGACGCGAUAGCGUGGGGAGCAAACGGG
rnacentral:rRNA from 1 species